rnacentral:rRNA from 1 species
AGUGAACGCUGGCGGCAGGCCUAAUACAUGCAAGUCGAACGGCAGCACAGCAGAGCUUGCUCUGUGGGUGGCGAGUGGCGGACGGGUGAGGAAUACAUGGGAAUCUGCCCAGUCGUGGGGGAUAACGUAUGGAAACGUACGCUAAUACCACAUGCGCCCUUUGGGGGAAAGCCGGGGACCUUCGGGCCUGGCGCGAUUGGAUGAGCCCAUGUUCGAUUAGCUAGUUGGCGGGGUAAAGGCCCACCAAGGCGACGAUCGAUAGCUGGUCUGAGAGGAUGAUCAGCCACACUGGGACUGAGACACGGCCCAGACUCCUACGGGAGGCAGCAGUAGGGAAUAUUGGACAAUGGGCGCAAGCCUGAUCCAGCCAUGCCGCGUGAGUGAAGAAGGCCCUCGGGUUGUAAAGCUCUUUUGUCCGGAAAGAAAAGCAUUCGGUUAAUACCCGGGUGUUCUGACGGUACCGGAAGAAUAAGCACCGGCUAACUUCGUG